AGGCUUUAAAAGAGGCCCCAAGGAAGAGUUUCAAGAAAAGGGAACAUUGGUUUACACUGGGAUGCGAAAGAAAAAUAUCCCUGCGCUUUCUGUCUGUCUUUGUGGCGGCCCAGAUUGAAUAAGGGACUACAUCU
rnacentral:snoRNA from 1 species